CGCAUCUGUGCAUGCAGCAUAUCAAUAAGCGGAGGAAAAGAAACUAACAAGGAUUCCCCUAGUAACGGCGAGUGAAGCGGGAAGAGCUCAAAUUUGAAAUCUUAAAGGGUUUCCCUUUACGAAUUGUAGUUUAAAGAAGUGUUUUCUGUUGAGGUUUUGGUAAAAGUUCUUUGGAAUAGGACAUCAUAGAGGGUGAGAAUCCCGUAUUUGACCUUUACUUUCAACUUUGUGAUACACUUUCAAAGAGUCGGAUUGUUUGGGAAUGCAGUCCAAAAUGGGUGGUAAAUUUCAUCUAAAGCUAAAUAUUGGCGAGAGACCGAUAGCGAACAAGUACCGUGAGGGAAAGAUGAAAAGAACUUUGAAAAGAGAGUUAAACAGUACGUGAAAUUGUCAAAAGGGAAGCGUUUGACACCAGUGUUGUUUUUCUGAAAAUCAAUUAAAGAACUGUUUAUGCUAAGCUGUUUAGGACUUUAUCAGCUAAUCUGUUUAGUUUUGAGCUUUUCUUUAAUGCACUUUUCAGUUAACAAGUCAACAUCAAUUUCUUUUGCUGUAAAAAAGCUUGAGGAAGGUGGCUUGAGAUUCGUCUUAAGUGUUUAUAGCCUCUUGCCUAUGCAGUCGGAGAGAUUGAGGUCUGCAGCGUAGAUCCUUCGGAGCUAAAUGCAUUUGUGCUAAGUUAUAGCAUUUUAUAGACAACUUGUUGACUAUGAUUUGUCUUGUAGCUUACUCGCUUAUGUUAUUUUACCUACGCUUAGGAUGUUGAGUCAUCACACAUCUCU
rnacentral:rRNA from 1 species